rnacentral:rRNA from 1 species
GAUGAACGCUGGCGGCGUGCCUAAUACAUGCAAGUCGAGCGAACGGACGAGAAGCUUGCUUCUCUGAUGUUAGCGGCGGGCGGGUGAGUAACACGUGGAUAACCUACCUAUCAGACUGGGAUAACUUCGGGAAACCGGCGCUAAUACCGGAUGAUAUUUUGAACCGCAUGGUUGAAAGGUGAAAGACGGUCUUGCUGUCACUAAUAGAUGGUUCCGCGCUGCAUUAGCUAGUUGGUAAGGUAACGGCUUACCAAGGCAACGAGGCAUAGCCGACCUGAGAGGGUGAUCGGCCACACUGGAGCUGAGACGCGGACAAGAGUCCUACGGGAGGCAGCAGUAGGGAAUGUGCCGCAGUAGGCGAAAGCCUGACGGAGCAACGCCACGUGAGUGAUGGAGGUGUUCGGAUCGUGAAACUCUGUUAUGAGGUAUGAACAUAUGUGGAAGGAGCUGUGCAGAGCUUGACGGUACCUAAUCAGGAAGCACCGGCUAACUACGUG